GAUGAACGCUGGCGGCGUGCCUAAUACAUGCAAGUCGAGCGAACGGACGAGAAGCUUGCUUCUCUGAUGUUAGCGGCGGACGGGUGAGUAACACGUGGAUAACCUACCUAUAAGACUGGGAUAACUUCGGGAAACCGGAGCUAAUACCGGAUAAUAUUUUGAACCGCAUGGUUCAAAAGUGAAAGACGGUCUUGCUGUCACUUAUAGAUGGAUCCGCGCUGCAUUAGCUAGUUGGUAAGGUAACGGCUUACCAAGGCAACGAUGCAUAGCCGACCUGAGAGGGUGAUCGGCCACUCUGAAACUGAGACACGGUCCAGACUCCUGGGGGAGGGAGCAGUAGGGAAUCUUCCGAAAGGGGCGAAAGCCUGACGGAGCAACGCCGCGUGAGUGAUGAAGGUCUUCGGAUCGUAAAACUCUGUUAUUGGGGAAGAACAUAUGUGUAAGUAACUGUGCACAUCUUGACGGCACCAAAACAGAAAGCCGCGGCUAACUACG
rnacentral:rRNA from 1 species